rnacentral:lncRNA from 1 species
AGAUUCAUCCUGGUUUGAUUGGAACGACGAAGAAACUGUGCUAUUCCCAAACUGGGAAACUGGAAUCACCUGCUUUGAAAGUGGGAUAACUUCUUCAUCCCAACUCCUAUGAGAUUUAUUCAACUUCCUGGUGAUUCUACACCACCUUAUGUAUCCAAAUCAAGCUUCUCACAAAGUGAUUCAUCCUGGUUUGAUUGGAACGACGAAGAAGCUGUGCUAUUCCCAAACUAGGAACCUGGAAUCACCUGAUUUGAAAGUGGGAUAACUUCUUCUUGCCAACUCCUAUGAGAUUUAUUCAACUUCCUGGUGAUUCUCCACCACUUUAUGUAUCCAAAUAAAGCUUCUCACAAAGUGAGUCAUCCUGGUUUGAUUGGAACGACGAAGAAGCUGUCCAAUUCCCAAACUGGGAAACUGGAAUCACGUGAUUUGAAAGUGCGAUAACUUCUUCAUCUCAACUCCUAUGAGAUUUAUUCAACUUCCUGGUCAUUCUCCACCACUUUAUGUAUCCAAACCAAGCUUCUCACAAAGUGAUUCAUCCUGGUUUGAUUGGAACGACGAAGAAGCUGUGCAAUUCCCAAACUGGGAAACUGGAAUCACCUGAUUUGAAAGUGGGAUAACUUCUUCAUCCCAACUCCUAUGAGAUUUAUUCAACUUCCUGGUCAUUCUCCACCACUUUAUGUAUCCAAAUCAAGCUUCUCACAAAGAGAUUCAUCCUGGUUUGAUUGGAACGACGAUGAAGCUAUCCUAUUCCCAAACUGGGAAACUGGAAUCACCUGAUUUGAAAGUGGGAUAACUUCUUCUUGCCAACUCCUAUGAGAUUUAUUCAACUUCCUGGUGAUUUUCCACCACUUUAUGUAUCCAUAUCAAGCUUCUCACAAAGUGAUUCAUCCUGGUUUUAUUGGAACGACGAUGAAGCUGUGCUAUUCCCAAACUUGGAAACUGGAAUCACCUGAUUUGUAUUAGAUUUGGUGAUUUAAAGAGUGAUUAAGUCUAAUCUGAGAAUUAAAGAGAUUGGAGAUUAAGAACAAGAGAGAGACUUAAGAGAGAGAGACUCAAAACUCCAUUAAUUAAUACUGAUGAGGGUUUACAAGUAUAUAAAGAGAGAGCAACAAGGAAUUUCGAAAUGUAUAAGCAUGUGUAGUCAAAGGACAGGCUGGAACUCCUUUUGAAUCACUUGGCUGUGCUUUCUCACAUGCUUGCACUAGUAGAAAAGCAUCCUAUCCUUUCCAGCAUCAUACAGGCUGUCAAAGUGCUCCCUUAUCCUUCCUUAUCCUCUUUGGUCGAGUUUACUCUCUUCCCUUCACUAAGUUACCUUCUCAUGCCAUCAGAUAACUUCCCAAGUUGUUACUGUGGUUAAACUAAAGUUACCACAGUAAAACUCAAAAGUUACUGUCUACUCCAACUCUCUUCCUCUCUCAAUAUAUCAACUCUUUAUUCUCUCAUCUCAACACUCCCCCUCAAGCUUGACCAUGUGGAACAAGUCAAGCUUGGUAGGACCAUGAGAUCUCCCUCAUUAAAACCUCAUUAAAGAAAACCCAUUGGGACAAAACCUUAAUGAGGAAAAAGAGUAGAGAUCACAUGAUCAGGAGAGUGUAUAGACUAGCCCUUAGGCGAGAGAUCAAUGAGUCCUAACCUGAUGUGUAUGGACUCCAUUGUCUUUUGCCUUGCUGCCUUUGUGAACACAUCUGCUAACUGAUCCUCACUCCGAGUAUAACAAGGUAGAAUCACCCCAAGAAUCAUCAUCUGCCUCACCUUGUGACAAUCAACCUCAAUGUGCUUUGUUCUCUCAUGGAACACAGAGUUAGAUGCAAUGUGGAUAGCUGCUUGAUUAUCACAAUGCAUUGUCAUUGGCGUUGCUUGAAUAAUCUCCAGAUGCUUCAAAAUCCCUUUUAUCCACACUAGCUCAUUUGUAAGCUUCAGCAUUGCUCUAUACUCGGCCUCAGCACUGGAACAAGACACUACCUUCUGCUUCUUACUCUUCCAAGUGACCAAGUUACCACCAAUGAAUGUACAAUAGCCUGUGGUUGAUCUUCUAUCUGCUCUAUCACCAGCCCAAUCCGCAUCACAGUAGCCUACAACCUCAGUACUCUUGUUACAUCCCAUCCAUACUCCAAGACCAGUAGUUCCAUUCAGAUACAUCAAGAUCCUUUCCACCAUCCGCCAGUGGUGCUCCUUAGGAACUUGCAUGUGUUGACUGACUUGAUUCACCGCAAAGCAUACAUCAGGUCUAGUAAUGGUAAGAUAAAUCAACUUCCCCACUAGCUUCCUAUACAGCUUAGGAUCAUGGAAUGGCUUGCUAUCCUCAAUCUCCCCCUCACGUGGAACCUUGUACCCAUCCUCCAUUGGCAUCUUGGCUGUCUUUCCUCCAUAGGCAUCUGCUCCCUUCAAUAGAUCAAUCACAUACUUCCUUUGAGACAUGAACAAUCCUUCCUUUGAUCUGCAUAUCUCAAUCCCAAGAAAAUACUUCAUUUCCCCCAAGUCUUUAAUCUCAAAGCUUGCCUUGAGAUACUCCUUUGUAGCCUUGAUGCCUUCCUUAUCACUGCCUGUGAUGAUGAUAUCAUCCACAUACACAAGCAAUACCACAAUACCAGAUGAGGUGGUUAGGGUAAAGAGAGUGUGAUCCAAUUCUGACUUUCUGAACCCUCUCCCAUUCAGUGUAGUACUCAACUUGUUGUACCACGCCCUUGGAGACUGCUUGAGACCAUAGAUAGCUUUCCUCAACCUCAACACAUUACCCUUCUUUACUAGAUGUUCAAGACCUGGUGGUGGAUGCAUGUAUACUUCAUCUUCCAACUCUCCUUGAAGGAAUGCAUUCUUCACAUCCAUUUGCCACAAAUCCCACUCAAGAUUCACAGCUAAAGAUAAUACAAUCCUGAUAGUAUGAAGUUUAGCCACAGGAGCAAAGGUCUCAACAUAGUCCUCACCAUAUGUCUGAGUAAAUCCUCUUGCCACCAACCUAGACUUGCGCCUCUCUAUUCUUCCAUCAGGAUGAAACUUGAUUGUGAACACCCAUUUACUAGUCACUGCCUUCUUCCCUUUAGGCAGCUCACUCUCAUACCAUGUUUCAUUCUUAAUCAUGGCUCCGGACUCAUCAGCAACUGAAUCUCUCCACUCCUUUAAAGCCAUAGCUUCUUCAUAUGUCCUUGGAAUAUAGCUCUCAUCCAAGCUUACUGUGAAGGCUAUAUGCUCGUCUGGAAACUCUGCAAAGGAACACAUAGCUUGAGAAGGAUGCUCCACAGCCUGGGCAUUGUAGUACACUCUCGUGUUUACCCAGUUGGAAGCAUCUCUCUUCACCCUUGUGCUCCUCCUCAGCUCCUGAACUUGUUCUUCUUGUGGCUCUUGCCCAUCUUCACUUGAUUGAGCACCACUCUCAUUUGACCCAUCAGGAUCCACUUCCCAAUCUCCACUAGACUGACUACCACUCUCAUCUGAGCCAGUAGACUCUCUUUGCCCAUCUCCACUAGACUGAGCACCACUCUCUACUUCCUGUGUCACCUCUUGAUUAUGCUGGCCUGAAUCUUCUUGAUUUUGCACUUGCUCAUGAGAUUCAGUUCCAUUCCCCCUCUCAUGAUCAAGAGGGGUUGUUCUUUCAGCUUCACUAGUAGGAUUGGAAGACUCUCUUCUUCCAGAUUCCUGAUCCUGGGAUAACCCUAUCCCUAGCUUCUCCAACAGCACCCUCAGUGUUGUUGCUCUAUCAGAUGGAGCUUGAGACAAAUCCUUCAGAUUUUCCCACUCCUUUUCUUCAUAAUACCCUUUGGAUUCAAUAAACUUCACUUCUCUAGAUACCAUCACUCUCCUUGCUUCAGGAUCAUAGACUUGUAUCCCUUUUGAGUGAUAGAGUAUCCAAUAAACAUUGCCUUAGUACUCUUUGCCUCCAGCUUGUUUCUCUGUUCUCCUGGAGUCAUGACAUAGCAUACACACCCAAAUACUCGUAGGUGAUCAAUAAAAGGCUUGCUCUUAUUCAGCACCUCAAAUGGAGACAGAUUCUUCAGUAUCUUGGUUGGGACCCGGUUGAUGAGGUAGCAAGCAGUCUGAACAGCAUCUCCCCAAAAUCUUUUUGGGACAUUUGCAUGAAACAUCAUCGACCUAGCAACCUCCAUCAAGUGCCUAUUCUUCCUCUCAGCUACACCAUUCUGCUGUGGUGUGUAAGGACAACUGGUCUGAUGCACAAUCCCAUGCUUGGCUAGAUGACUCUUGAAGGCAUUGCUGAUGUAUUCACCUCCGUUGUCUGAUCUCAGUACCUUCACAGUAGCAUUGUAUUGAUUAGAUACAUAUGCUUGGAAGUUCAUAAACGCUUCUAGCACCUUAUCUUUAGAUGGAAGCAAUGUGAGCCAUGUAUACUUAGACUUCUCAUCAAUGAAUGUCACAAAGUAUUUAUGGCUGUCUCUAGACAUGCAUGGAGCGGUCCACACAUCCGAGUGAACUAGAUCAAAGCAAUGCUCAUAAGUAGUCUUAGAUGUUGGGAAAACAGUCCUACAAUGCUUUCCUAAUAUGCAUGCUUCACAAUCCAAGUGAUUGAAUGACAUAUUAGGGAUUAUCAAUUCAAUGGCACGAGCAUGAGGAUGUCCUAAUCUAGCAUGCCAAGUAAUAUUAUCAAUCUUCUCAGCAGUACUACUCAAGCAAAUAGAAUCAAAGGGAUUAGAGGUCUUAGCCAAGUCGAGGUGGUAUAGCUGAUUUUUGCUGUCUCCUCUGCCAAUGACUCUCCCAGUCUUCAAAUCUUGAAACUCAACUUCAUCAGGUCUGAAUACUACUUGACAAUCAAGAUCAAUGGUAGCUUUCUUCACAGAUAAUAGAUUUGAAGUGAACUGAGGCAUGUAGAAGGCAGCCGUGUCCUUCUCAAACAGUUUGAGCUUUCCCACUCCUUCUAUUGGGAUCAUAGCACCAUUAGCUAUCCUAACACUCCCUGUUGCAGCCUUGAUCUCACUUAUAAGCCUCCUAUCACUGAUCAUAUGAUGACUUGCUCCAGAAUCAAUCACCAUGGGUUUAGAAGCUCCGGAUUGUAUAGCAUGCUUCUUGCUUGCUGCUAAGGCUUGUACAUGUUCCAUGAACACUCUCCAUUCCUUCCUGGUGAUGCGAUCAUCAGCUCCACUCCCUUUCUCCUGCUCUCUUAACACCCCACUGUCUUCUACUGAUUCCCCCAUGUAGGCUGAGUAAGAACACUCUCCCACAACUCUCUUUCUACCCUUUCCUAUGUUGAUAGAAGCUUUGGAUAGCAUUCUGCACCUUCUCUUCUUCCGGAAGCCCUCACUCCUACUCCCGGUUAGCCUCCAUGAGCCCUCACUCCUACUCAUGGUUAGCUUCUGGAAGCUCUCACUCCUACUCCCAGUUGGCUUCCAUGAGCUCUCACUCCUACUCAUGGUUAGCCUCUCAUCAUCUCUCAUUAUCUCAUACGCCCUUCUUAUAAGCCCACAAAUCUCUUCCAUUUCCGGAAGCUGUUCCCCUCUUAGAACCAUCUCUACCAGCCACCCAUAUGAUGACUCCAUGCUCGCCAAGAGCUUCAAGACCGUCUCUUGCUCUUGUGUAGUAUCCCCAUCCACAUGGGAUCUCAACCCUUGUAGUUCAACCCACAAAUGUUGUAGCUUCCUCACAUGGUUAUUGAACUCUUCUCUUCCUGGUUUACCUCCACUAAUCACCUUCUUGACUUCAUACACUCUCCUAAGACUGAUCUUGUUCUCAUAAACAUCUUCAAUCUUCUCAAGCAGUGUACUUUCUUCAAGACUAAAGCAAUUUCCACUUGUUUCUCUUGCUGUCUGAUCUUUCUCAGCAGCUUUACCCUUCAAAGACUCUUCCUUCUCAUGGUUUCUCCAAACUCCACACCUCUUCAGAGUCGUUUUCAUUUGUGAGAACCACCCCCACUCAUUCCCUCUCUCUUCCAUCUCUUCACGCCUUGCUGAACCACAAGCUAGACCCAUCUUCUGACCUUGUCAAACACCUAAAGGGACUCCCUUGAAGCUGACUCUCCAAAAGAAACACCAACAGACACAAACUUGACUUUUAAAGGAUCUAGCUCUUGAAAAAUCUCAAGAACUCUCAAGAACACUCAAGAACACUCAAGAACAUUUAGAAAAACGAAAUCACUCUCUCCUUUUAAAGUAACCUGGCUCUGAUACCAUAUUAGAUUUGGUGAUUUAAAGAGUGAUUAAGUCUAAUCUGAGAAUUAAAGAGAUUGGAGAUUAAGAACAAGAGAGAGACUUAAGAGAGAGAGACUCAAAACUCCAUUAAUUAAUACUGAUGAGGGUUUACAAGUAUAUAAAGAGAGAGCAACAAGGAAUUUCGAAAUGUAUAAGCAUGUGUAGUCAAAGGACAGGCUGGAACUUCUUUUGAAUCACUUGGCUGUGCUUUCUCACAUGCUUGCACUAGUAGAAAAGCAUCCUCUCCUUUCCAGCAUCAUACAGGCUGUCAAAGUGCUCCCUUAUCCUUCCUUAUCCUCUUUGGUCGAGUUUACUCUCUUCCCUUCACUAAGUUACCUUCUCAUGCCAUCAGAUAACUUCCCAAGUUGUUACUGUGGUUAAACUAAAGUUACCACAGUAAAACUC